UACGAAGGGGGCUAGCGUUGCUCGGAAUCACUGGGCGUAAAGCGCACGUAGGCGGCUUUUUAAGUCAGGGGUGAAAUCCUGGAGCUCAACUCCAGAACUGCCUUUGAUACUGAGAAGCUUGAGUUCGGGAGAGGUGAGUGGAACUGCGAGUGUAGAGGUGAAAUUCGUAGAUAUUCGCAAGAACACCAGUGGCGAAGGCGGCUCACUGGCCCGAUACUGACGCUGAGGCGCGAAAGCGUGGGGAGCAAACAGG
rnacentral:rRNA from 1 species